CUUUUACGACAGAGCAUCGUAUCAGUGACCAUUGUUUCUACACUAUCCCUCUCUAGUGUUAUCCCAACUAAACCACUAACAUGGAAUUUAGUCAAAGCUUGGUUGCAUGUGAACAUCAUAUUUGUCGGAAUGCUAAUCACAAGCAUCUUUAGUUUGAAGUAUAUCCAUGUUGCGAUGGACACAAUAUUGAAGAAUGUCGCAAAUGUUCAUGCUACUUCUGGGGCAACCUACUUCUUUAAGAAGCAGCAUGAUAGACAAGUAUGGAUUUCUCUAAUGUUGAUGGUAUGUCAAACUUAUAAUUUACUAAUUUUAAGUAGGACUAAAAUGCUUGAGGGACUUUUUUUAGUUUUUGAAUAA
rnacentral:rRNA from 1 species